rnacentral:rRNA from 1 species
UACGUAGGGUGCGAGCGUUAAUCGGAAUUACUGGGCGUAAAGCGUGCGCAGGCGGUUUUGUAAGCCAGAUGUGAAAGCCCCGGGCUCAACCUGGGAAUGGCAUUUGGGACUGCAAGGCUAGAGUGUGGCAGAGGGGGGUGGAAUUCCACGUGUAGCAGUGAAAUGCGUAGAGAUGUGGAGGAACACCGAUGGCGAAGGCAGCCCCCUGGGUUAACACUGACGCUCAUGCACGAAAGCGUGGGGAGCAAACAGG